rnacentral:piRNA from 1 species
UGAGAAAGGUGUGCACUUGUUUCAAGUC